rnacentral:rRNA from 1 species
UACGAAGGGGGCUAGCGUUGUUCGGAUUUACUGGGCGUAAAGCGCACGUAGGCGGAUCGUUAAGUCGGGGGUGAAAUCCUGGAGCUCAACUCCAGAACUGCCUUCGAUACUGGCGAUCUUGAGUCCGGAAGAGGUGAGUGGAACUCCUAGUGUAGAGGUGGAAUUCGUAGAUAUUAGGAAGAACACCGGUGGCGAAGGCGGUUCUCUGGGCCUGUACUGACGCUGAGGAGCGAAAGCGUGGGGAGCGAACAGG